GAUGAACGCUGGCGGCGUGCCUAAUACAUGCAAGUCGAGCGAACCGACGAGGAGCUUGCUCCUCUGAUGUUAGCGGCGGACGGGUGAGUAACACGUGGAUAACCUACCUAUAAGACUGGGAUAACUUCGGGAAACCGGAGCUAAUACCGGAUAACAUGUUGAACCGCAUGGUUCAACAGUGAAAGACGGUCUUGCUGUCACUUAUAGAUGGAUCCGCGCCGCAUUAGCUAGUUGGUAAGGUAACGGCUUACCAAGGCAACGAUGCGUAGCCGACCUGAGAGGGUGAUCCGCCACACUGGAACUGAGACACGGUCCAGACUCCUACGGGAGGCAGCAGUAGGGAAUCUUCCGCAAUGGGCGAAAGCCUGACGGAGCAACGCCGCGUGAGUGAAGAAGGUCUUCGGAUCGUAAAACUCUGUUAGUAGGGAAGAACAAAUGUGUAAGUAACUAUGCACGUCUUGACGGUACCUAAUCAGAAAGCCACGGCUAACUACGUG
rnacentral:rRNA from 1 species